rnacentral:sRNA from 1 species
ACGAUGUCUGGGGCUGCUUGGCGUGGGACUCCUCUGGCGCUGGUGCGGUCGUCGCGCAUGCGCGGGGGUGGGCAAGGCAGUGGUCAGCGACCCGCAGUCCAUCUGACUCCUGCUUCCCGGGUGUUGCUCGUGUCCUGAGGGCUGCACUGCAGCUCCUACAAUACGACCACUGCUUCUGGGUCAGGCUGGCCGUUUCUCUCAUGAUUCCCUGCUCUCUGGACAGGUUGCUUUGCCCACCUGGCUCCGCCACCCUGCUCACCUUGGGAUGUGUAGAUAGGACAAGGAAGAUGGGGAGCCAAAGACCAAGCAUCUCAGAGAAGAGGAGGAAGAAGGCGAGAAGCACAGGGAACUUAGGCUGCGGAACUAUGUCCCGGAGGAUGAGGACCUGAAGAAGAGGAGGGUGCCCCAGGCCAAACCGGUUGCAGGUAAGCAAGCUGCCCCUCUCCACCUCUGCUUCCUGGCACUGUCAGCCGCCCUCCACCUCAGCAGGCUUUGCUCUCUGAGAAUAACCAGCAGUACCAGGACAGGAGUUGGGCCUGCAGGCAGGACC